rnacentral:lncRNA from 1 species
GAACCAUAACUAUCACUAAUUGGGUGCAUGGUACUCUUGCCUAAGACUCGCUGACUUGUUAAUAUGCAGAUCUAAAGAAGCAUAGAUGGUGGAAAAAUCUUAUAAAUGUCUUCUUGAAUACAUUUAGAUCAAAUGACCUGAUCUAAUGUUGCGUCAGUGCGAGCAUGAAUAUCGUCUAACACUGCGUCAUGUUCAAGACAAGUUUGUUUCUCUCUCUCUUUCUCAAUCUCAUUUAUUUUAUUCAUUCAAAUCUGAUUUGGUGAUGUUUUUGCUUCGAUGUGUACAUUUUUUGCAGAAGUUGUUUAUCCUUUGAUAUUUGAUUUAGAACAUGAUUUGAAGGUUAAUUUAAUUGCUUGUGUUACUUUCUGUUUGUUCAGAGGUCCAGUUCAUCCAGUCGGAAGCUCUUCGCCUUAAAAAAUUCUAUUUGUAUCAUAAUGGUUUUGUUAGAUUAGGUAGACAUAAUAACCAAUAGAGUAACAUUUGGGACUUAAGUGAGAUUUGUGAUCACAGUGGUUUGUUUUUUAGUAAGUGACUAUUUAUGGUUGUGUCACAUGAUAUAACAAUGAAGUCAUCAUGAGAAGAAAUUUGACUUGGUGCUGAGAUCAUAUGCGACUAUCAUGGAUGCAGGUACUUUUUGGUUUAUUUUGUCAAAGAGCCUUCUUGUUUGGAGUGUCUCCAUCACAUGAUACAAAUAAUGAUAAACUUUCUGUUGGAUGAAAGGAAGCUAGGAGGUGUGGGAGUCUCUUAGACCAUAAUUAUCGCCUGCAAUUCCAUAGUUCCUACAGGUUUUCCAAGUUGCUUGUGUCAGAGCAAACAGAUAUUUCAUAUUUAAUGGACGUGCUUUAUAUUGAAUUGUUGGCAUGCAGAAGCACGUCCUUUAGCAUUUGCUGGAUCAUUCAAUUACAAUAACAAAUUACCAACUAUACUAUAAAGAAAGAUUGCAAGGCUAUGCGUCUGUUUGGUUUGGCAUCUGAGAAGCUCAAACGCGAGUCUCCAACCUCAAAACGCGAUUGUCACAAUUUCUGGGUUGUUUGGGUUAAAGGAAACGCGAUUCUCUUCAACGUGAUUUAGCAACCAGACGUGAGUCUCCUAGAAGUCAGGAUUCCUAGCUUCUGCGUCUCAUAAACGCGAUUCUGCUUUUUUUGUGGUAGGUAUUCUUUUGAUUAUUACCCAUAAAGCUUCUUCUUCAAUAACAAUUACUACCGCAACUUCAAUUUUUACUACCCAUAAGCUUCUUCUUCCUUCUUCAUAAUUACACAUCAACUCAACUUCAAUUUUUUUUUUCUGAGAAAGAUUUCUUUCCAUCUGUUUUCAGAUUUGCAUAUCUCCUUUAUUUAUUUCUGUCAUUACUCAUGUUAGAUUAGUGUUGGUUGGAUGAAUUUAUUGCAUAUUGUUUCUUCUCUAUAUAUAUGAUGUGUGUGAAUUAUUUGUGACAUACUUCCUUUCAUUGUUCAUCCAAGUCUGAAGGUGAGUAGAAAUUUUAUUGAUUUUUUUGUUGUUGUGAUGGCUUGAUGUAGUAGUAGUGUUCAUUAUUCUGUUUUAAAGUUCUUAUUACAUGUUAUACACUCUACACUCUGUUUUAUUAAAUAAUGCAUAGUAUGUGUUUGAUAAAAUGUCUCUAAGAAGAAAACAAUUUGUUGGUCUUGCUUUGUUAAAAAGUCUCUAAUUUAUGUUUCCAAGCUCUGUUAUUAUUAGAGCAGAUAGACACGAUUUUAGACAAAUGAAUUAUUGAUGCAAAGGCAAAUAAUGAUCAUGGUUUCAGCCUUAUAGUCUAAUCAUCCAGAUUAUGUGUUAAAAAGAUUAUGUGUUUCUAAGUUCUGAUUUGCAGGCGUAAGUCAGAGCCAGUUGGCGAAACUGAGGGCUGCAAACGUUGUAAUUGCAAGAAAUCAAAGUGCCUGAAGCUGUAAGUUGAAAUAAACACUUUUUUUCAUCUGUAUUUUUUUGGGAUAAACAUCCUUCAAUCUGCGUCUUACUCUCUUGGAUCAAAACCUUGAAAUCCAAACAAACAAGCUAUGUUUUUCAUUAUCUCUCUUGGAUCAAAACCUUGAAAACCAAAUAAGUCUUACUUAUGUAUUAGGACUUACUAAUGUGUUAGGAUUUGCUUAUCUCUAGUUUAAGUCUUAUUUAUAUCUAUUCUGUAUUUUGGUUAACAAUGAAUGAAGUAAAUUUCCUAUUUUGCUGAUCAAUUUAUUUCAAUUUAUUUGCCUACGUCGCAUGCCGAAGUUCAAAUAUGAAACACAAGUUCAAAUAGUAGUCGCAACAAUGGCAAUACACAACUUUAUCAGAAGGACUGCUGAAGUGGAUGCUGAUUUCAAUCUUUAUGAAGAUGAAA